UUCCGACUAAGAAACGUCUGUCGUUAUGUCAUUUAAGCUUCAAAACCCACUGCUUCCUCUUUAUUGCUUCUUAACUACCUCUUCAAGGACGGGCACGGCUUACGAAGAACGGGCACGGCAUAGAGUAUAUAAAUAGACAGUCUGAGAGUCUUCACAAGCAUUCAUAUGCCCCUUCCAUCAUAGAACCCUAAAUAUCUCUCAGCAUUCUCCAAGACGAGAUCCAUUUCUCUGAGCUACAGGUUUUUGUAUCAUGAUGUUGAAGUACAAUGGUGGAAAGCCGAGAGGUCGACCUAGCUUAAAAGUGCAGUCUAGAUUCAAGACCUAUUUUAGAUGCCAGAAGAACCUUUAGCUCCCCGUAAAGGGGCUGGGGCUGUUGUUCCACAAAUCAUUCUGAUAGUGUUGAUGUUAGUGUACCUGUCAACAGCACUGGACUCGGUGCUGACAGUGAACCUCAUGUAACCAGUACCGGUCUCCCUGGUGUGGCCAUGGACGAAGGCAUCCGACUCAAACACAAUUGAGGAAGGUAGCCCCUCCGCAAAGAAGCCACGCAAUGUCUAAAAACUCAACCAUCAGACAUCAUUACGCUUCCGUGUAGUGUCACAACUACUCUUACUAACUCUUUUUCUUUAAUUCCUCCAAAUGAAUUAA